GUGUUCACUUUGGCACACAUAUACUAAAUUGGAAGACACAGAGAAGAUUCGCAUGGCCCCUGCACAAGGAUGACAUGCAAAUUCAUGAAGUGUUCCUUUUUUUU